rnacentral:rRNA from 1 species
UGGGGAAUUUUGGACAAUGGGCGAAAGCCUGAUCCAGCAAUGCCGCGUGUGUGAAGAAGGCCUUCGGGUUGUAAAGCACUUUUGUCCGGAAAGAAAUCCUUGGCUCUAAUACAGUCGGGGGAUGACGGUACCGGAAGAAUAAGCACCGGCUAACUACGUGCCAGCAGCCACGGUAAUACGUAGGGUGCAAGCGUUAAUCGGAAUUACUGGGCGUAAAGCGUGCGCAGGCGGUUUGCUAAGACCGAUGUGAAAUCCCCGGGCUCAACCUGGGAACUGCAUUGGUGACUGGCAGGCUAGAGUAUGGCAGAGGGGGGUAGAAUUCCACGUGUAGCAGUGAAAUGCGUAGAGAUGUGGAGGAAUACCGAUGGCGAAGGCAGCCCCCUGGGCCAAUACUGACGCUCAUGCACGAAAGCGUGGGGAGCAAACAGGAUUAGAUACCCUGGUAGUCCACGCCCUAAAACGAUGUCAACUAGUUGUUGGGGAUUCAUUUCCUUAGUAACGUAGCUAACGCGUGAAGUUGACCGCCUGGGGAGUACGGUCGCAAGAUUAAAACUCAAAUGAAUUG